AUGGGAACUGGAAUGAUGAAAACACUUGUCGUGCCUCGGAGUGUGGCGCCGAGGAGAAGGACGAGCAGUCAGUGGUGUCUUCGUCUUCGCCGAUUGUGCUGGUGUGUUAUUCCUUUCCCUGCUCCGCCGCCUAGGAUACUCCACCACGGGAUUCGAGUAUGGCCUUGCCUUGGAUGGGUUGAGGAUGAUCAGUACGUCUGGAUUUUGCCAUCCUUCUUGGUUGUGAUUUUCAUUUGUUUUUCCUUCUCGUUUAGCUUCUCUUCUAUGCAUGGUGUAUAUGCCCUUCGGAGGAUUGUGUUAAUGCAUCAAAUAGGAUGUGUGCACCUAUUUUAUCAUGGAUCUUUGAUCCACAAUCUAACAAUUUUUUGUUCUGAUGGCUGCAAUUAUGUGACACAGAAGGUGCUUCUUGCUUGUUUGUUCAAAUGGCUAAAAGAAAAUACCCCCUUCUUUUUAUAG
rnacentral:rRNA from 1 species